AUUGAACGCUGGCGGCAGGCCUAACACAUGCAAGUCGAGCGGGGCGGCGGACGGGUGGGUAAUACCUAGGAAUCUGCCUGGUCGUGGGGGAUAACGUUCGGAAAGGGACGCUAAUACCGCAUACUAUCAGAUGAGCCUAGGCGGGAUUAGCUAGUUGGUGAGGUAAUGGCUCACCAAGGCUACGAUCCGUAACUGGUCUGAGAGGAUGAACAGUCACACUGGGACUGAGACACGGUCCAGACUCCUACGGGAGGCAGCAGUGGGGAAUAUUGGACAAUGGGCGAAAGCCUGAUCCAGCCAUGCCGCGUGUGUGAAGAAGGUCUUAGGAUUGUAAAGUACUUUAAGUUGGGAGGCGUUACCGACAGAAUAAGCACCGGCUAACUCCGUGCCAGCAGCCGCGGUAAUUC
rnacentral:rRNA from 1 species